rnacentral:misc_RNA from 1 species
UGAGUUUCCAACAGCUUCUUCUCAAAGCCGGCGGUUGUUUUUGGCUUGUGCGUCGGAAAAUUCUGAUGAAUUAAUCGAACAACUCGUUUCCGAUCUCGAGUCUAGUUCAAUCGAUGAGCAAAAACAAGCGGCGAUUGAAAUUAGACUCCUAGCGAAGAAUAAACCGGAAAAUCGUAUUAAAAUAGCUCGAGCUGGAGCAAUUAAACCGUUGAUUUCGCUAAUCUCCUCCACCGAUCCUCAGCUUCAGGAAAACGGCGUUACGGCAAUUCUCAAUCUGUCUCUUUGCGAUGAGAAUAAGGAGCUCAUCGCUGCAUCAGGAGCGAUUAAACCUCUAGUACGAGCGCUUAAAGUUGGAACCUCAACAGCCAGAG